UCUUCUCUUCCAGUUAUUAACUUUGGAACCUGACUCCAUGGUCACUACAGAAUCGUUGGCUGUGUGUCCGCUCUGGCUGGAACACCUAGUAACUGCAUAACAAGAAGUUACCUGUGACACCCUUUAGACAUCUCCUGGAUGGGCUGUGUUUGUACUUGUUAAAAGUUGCAAUGAGGAUGUGGGUGUAUGACAGAUACUUCCAAAAAUUGUCUAUGAUAGCUAAUCUGUUCUCUCCUGUAGCAGAUUCCCACCACAGUGUCAUACUUGUGACCUCUCCUUUGGCCUGACUUGUGAGCUCUUUGGCCUGAGCCCUGCACAUCUAAGCUGCUCUUUCCCACAGGGAAUGGUCCACGUCUCCUCUGCCAUUCUCCCAGGAAGGGCUCAUCUCCCUCUGUCCAUCUGUUGCAGCACUCCAACAGGGUGAGCUGUCCCACCACAGAGUGCUUUCAUGAAAAUAGCUUGUUGCAUGCGCUCUUGUUUGAACACGUAAGCCU
rnacentral:lncRNA from 1 species